rnacentral:rRNA from 1 species
CGUGCCUAACACAUGCAAGUCGAACGAUCUUGAUUUAUAGCAAUAUUAUUAAAGAGGAGUGGCGAACGGGUGAGUAACACGUAGAUAAUCUGCCUUCAGACGGGGACAACUCAGGGAAACUUGUGCUAAUACCCGAUGAGACCACAAGAAGGGAUUUUUGUGGCCAAAGGCGGGCAGCAAUGCUCGUGCUGAAAGAUGAGUCUGCGUCCUAUCAGCUAGUUGGUGGGGUAAAUGCCUACCAAGGCUAAGACGGGUAGCCGGCCUGAGAGGGUGAACGGCCACACUGGGACUGAGACACGGCCCAGACUCCUACGGGAGGCAGCAGUGAGGAAUUUUCCGCAAUGGGCGCAAGCCUGACGGAGCGACGCCGCGUGAGGGAUAGACAGCUUUCGGGUUGUAAACCUCUUUUAUUAAGGAAAAAGAUCUAUAUGCUAAUAUCAUGUAGAUUUGAUGGUACUUAUUGAAUAAGCCCCGGCUAACUACGUGCCAGCCGCCGC